UACGUAGGCAGCAAGCGUUGUUCGGAAUUACUGGGCGUAAAGAGUGUGUAGGCGGUGCUCCAAGUCUGGUGUGAAAUCUCCCGGCUUAACUGGGAGGGUGCAUUAGAAACUGGAAUGCUAGAGGAUGGGAGAGGUAAGCGGAAUUCCUGGUGUAGCGGUAGAAAUGCGUAGAUAUCGAGGAGGAACACCUGUGGUGUUAGACAGCUUACUGGACCAUUUCUGACGCUGGAGACACGAAAAGCGUGGGUAGCAAACAGGGAUUAGACUA
rnacentral:rRNA from 1 species